ensembl:lncRNA
GACAAAGAACCAUUUAUUGACCCCACACAAAACCCUUGUUCUCCAUGGGUCCAGCAGGCUCAGAAAAGUACAUGGCGGAGCAGUACAAAGAGGUGCCCGCCUUUCUCCUUUCAUUUACUAAUAUGCAAGAUGCUGCCUUCAUUACCAGCAAGACCAGCAUGACCAAACCUUUUUGACUGGACCAAGUGUGGGUUCUGCCACGUCAGGGACACGUUGAUCAUUUUGGAGCAAACCACCUGCAGACUGGAACAGAAAUCAAGAUUAAACUGAAGAGGCAAAAUAAAGAACGUUUUAUAAGUACUUGCAAGAAAAAAGUUCAAGACCAGGAAUAGAAGCAAAUAAGAUUACUUAAAGCAAAGUAAGGAUUUACAGAUUGCCACCACUGCAAUGGCUGACUGGAUUGAUACUGAGGUGCUGGAGCAGGGACAGAAUCCUGAGCUAUCUGGAGUGGUGGACACUGCUGGUAGGAUGGGGGACAUGCAGUCAGUGGUACCAGCAGUGCACGCUGCGGUCGGAGCUCUGGAUGAAGAUGAUGAUGAUGUCUUCUACUGUGAUAAAGAUAUCUUGCUGGAUGACUGUAUUCCUGCAGGGGCUAGAAGCACGCCAGAACCCAACUGUCAAGGGGGGCCGGCGCUUGCCCCUGAGGAGCUCACCUUCGUGUGGCCAGCUGUCAGAGCUGUGGAGUCCACAGAAACCCAGACGGAGAUGUCAGCAGAGGUGCAUGCUGCUGGGGUUCUCACAAGUUCCAAAGGUUAUGCCCUGGAGGAUGUCACAGGGCGUCCUGUAGACCUCGUUCCAGUGGGUCCCACACAUCAGGGUCCAACAGAGCCCCAAGUCCAAACCUCCAAAACGGUUUCUCCAGAUGUUCCUGGUGAUGCACACAAAGUGGCUGAAACACAACCAGAAGCCUGGAUUCCAAGCAAGGAAGAACCCGUGUCCUCACUGGAGCAGCGAGCACAGGGGACCCCGCUGCCAUACGCAGCCGCCGCUGCUGCUCCCGGGGAGGUUAACCACCCGAACGGGGAACGGGAGUGCCUGGCAGAGAUGCCCCGAAAGGAGCUCCUGGGUGAGAAUCUGCACAAGGGCGAUGAGGAAAUGAAUGAGCCCGAAAGCCCCGGAGAGCAACCCACCACUGGUGGCAGGAAGAAGUCCACAAGCCACGACACCUGCUCCAAGUACAACACGGUCUCUUACCGGAAGAUCCGUAAGGGAAACACCAAGCAGAAAAUCAAUGAGUUCGAGUCCAUGAUGAACACGUGAACAUAGUGACAAUACUAACAGGCAUUAAAAACAACUGAAAUUACACAAACUGUUUCGCAGGCAUGAUUCUCCUAGUUUCACACCUUGCUUCUUACAGCCAUUCCUGGCAUUUUUGUGCCCUGUGCCAUGCAGUGGACAUUUCACUUAUUGAAGGAGCAGUUAACACAAAUUCUGAAUAAUACAUUUUUCAGUAUUACUGUUCUACUUUACAGUUGUAGUUGUAGCCGAGCAUAUAUUUUCAAAUUUUUCACUUUCUCUGGAAGCUUUCAUGUACUGAUAGAAACACAAAGUCUAAUUUCAUGUCAUAAAACAUGAUAAACAUAAUUUAUACUCUGUAAAACACUUCCUUAAACAUAGGCAAUAGAUGAGAAACAACCUUUUAUGCUAAUUGUUUGGAAUAGCUGUUGUUUAUGCUUAACUAAGACCAAAAAAAAAAAAAAUUCAACACUGAAAUCAAGAUUUGUUGUUCAAUUUAUAACAGACUUGAUACUUGUUUCGUAAUCUCUACUUGGAAGUUGGGACAAAAAUUCCACAAAUUAUGUAACACAAAGGAUUAGAAAAAAAAUGCAAAUAAGAGACUCAGAAGUCAUCACUGGUAAACAUAUACACUGUCUAAUCUGUCAAAAAUGGUAUUAACUUAUUAAUUGUUGUUUUAUGCUUUGUCAAAAAGAUACAUGCAGGCGGUUAUAUCAAUGAUUGUCAGUGUGUCAAGGCUGCCAGCUCAUUCAGUACAAAAUGUAUAUUCAGUGAAAGACAGUUCUGCACAAAGGCCUUCACAGGUACCAGAAGCUGGAAAACAAACCUUUAGGGUGUUAAAUAUGGAUGACGUAUUGCUGCUGUGGCCCUCUUGCAGCAGAAAUUUACACUGUUAUGAAGGAGAAGGAAUAAAGGAUUUUCCUUACACCA